UGGGGAAUAUUGCACAAUGGGCGCAAGCCUGAUGCAGCCAUGCCGCGUGUAUGAAGAAGGCCUUCGGGUUGUAAAGUACUUUCAGCGGGGAGGAAGGUGUUGUGGUUAAUAACCACAGCAAUUGACGUUACCCGCAGAAGAAGCACCGGCUAACUCCGUGCCAGCAGCCGCGGUAAUACGGAGGGUGCAAGCGUUAAUCGGAAUUACUGGGCGUAAAGCGCACGCAGGCGGUCUGUCAAGUCGGAUGUGAAAUCCCCGGGCUCAACCUGGGAACUGCAUCCGAAACUGGCAGGCUUGAGUCUUGUAGAGGGGGGUAGAAUUCCAGGUGUAGCGGUGAAAUGCGUAGAGAUCUGGAGGAAUACCGGUGGCGAAGGCGGCCCCCUGGGCAAAGACUGACGCUCAGGUGCGAAAGCGUGGGGAGCAAACA
rnacentral:rRNA from 1 species